ACAGUUGAAANGCCGUUCCCAGGUUAAGCCCGGGGUUUUCNCAUNUNGGUUACCUAACCACCUACGCGCGGUUUACGGCCCAGAAUUCCGAUUAACGCUUGCACCCUCCGUAUUACCGCGGUGCUGGCACGGAGUAGCCGGUCUUCUUUUGAGAGUAACGUCAAUCCCUGAAGGUAUUAAAUUCAGAAGCCUUCCUCCUCGCUGAAAGUGCUUUACAACCCGAAAAGCCUUCUUCACACACGCGGCAUGGCUGGAUCAGGGUUGCCCCCAUUGUCCAAUAUUCCCCACUGCUGCCUCCCGUAGGAGUUCGGGCCGUGUCUCAGUCCCGAUGUGGCUGAUCAUCCUCUCAGACCAGCUACGGAUCGUCGCCUUGGUAGGCCUUUACCCCACCAACUAGCUAAUCCGACUUAGGCUCAUCCAGUAGCGCAAGGUCCGAAGAUCCCCUGCUUUCUCCCGUAGGACGUAUGCGGUAUUAAUCCGGGUUUCCCCGGGCUAUCCCCCACUACUGGGCAGAUUCCCUAAGCAUUACUCACCCGUCCGCCGGCUCGUCAGCGGGGUGCAAGCACCCCCCUGUUACCGCUUCGACUUGCAUGUGUUAAGCCUGCCGCCAGCGNAUUCAAUCUGAAGCCAGGGAUNCAAA
rnacentral:rRNA from 1 species